rnacentral:lncRNA from 1 species
UUUCAGGUGUCGGUGUAGUAUUCACAAUAGACAAUGUCAGGCUCCUAUUCUUGGAGUUAGUUAUGUUCUUCUGUUUUCUUUUGUUGUUUCAGUUUGAAAGAGACCAUCUGUUGGUUGGUCAAUGGCUGCCCAUAUGCUUUUAAAACUUUUGAGAGGGUGUAGCAUAUCAGGGAGAUAAUAAUAAUUAUUAGCAAUAAAACAAUGCCCAUAGUUUGGAGAGCAAUCCUGAGCCAGGGUUCCCGUGACCCAAGACAAUCAGAAUCAAAGAAGUCAAGAAAGAUCCUGAAGAGGGAGAUACUUCUUUAAGUUAGUUGGCUUGUUUAUAUAUUUCACGUACCUGUGUCUCCACUUCUCCAGAAUUGUUUAUCCAGUGAGUUUGUGCCAGAGAAACUGAGAUAUUGGAAAUCAGGUAGAGGUUUGUGAUGGGCAGAAAGAACUACAGCAUCAUAGGAGAUCCAACAGUCAGUUGGAGGUUAGAUCAACCUCCUUCACAAUGGCCUGAAAUAUGUGAAAAACAGCAUUACCUUUCCAGGCCAGGGCAAGGCAAAAGAUGAACAAAAGAAACAUAAGGACCUUCAUGGUAGGAAGACACAGGGAGAUUUGACAGCAAAGAGAAGAGAAGGAAACAUGAAGACGGAGCAGAGAGAUUUGAAGAUGCUGCCUUUGAAGACUGAAGUGAAGCCAAAGAAUGCUGGCAACCACCUGACGCUGAAAAAGGCAUGGAAUGAAUUCUCCCCAUAGGCCUCUCAAAAGAUGGAGGUUGUGCUGAUGCCUUGAUUUCACUCCUGUGAUACUGAUUUUGGACUCUGGUCUUGAAAG